AAAGUGCGACAAGUGUCAUGACUUGCAGAUACCCGAGAGCUGACAAAUUUCUGAAUGCAAAUUGCAGCCAAGUUAACCUGGCUAUGCGUUGCAGAGAGUACUUCGCUUAUGCGCUUCAUCCAGAGAUGUGUUAGUGCAACUCUGGGACAUGCGAUUGCGUGACACUUUUUUCCAUAUGGAAAAAACAACGUCAUACAGAGUCUCCAUCCCUUGUGGGUGGCUCUUUGUAUGACUACCGCGAUCGUCAAAGGAAGAAAACCUUCGAGUUUUCCUGGAUAUUACCUGAGACAGAAAAGAUUCUUCUCUUCUCUUCUCAAACCUCACCUCUGCAAUGCAGGAGAACCCGCUGAACUUAA
rnacentral:misc_RNA from 1 species